ACUCAAACGGGUCAGCCCUGCCGCGGAGGGAAAGGGCCCCUAAGGCUCUGCUCUCCCCUGCCUCCCGCACCAACCCUGCAAAACCGAUCCUGCCUCAUCCUACCCUAACUCGGGACUGGGGGCUGAACGCAGGCCCUUCUCCCUGAGCUAUUAGGCAGGCUUGUUCCAUGACACAUGAGGUUUUCUUCGAGAACAGAGUCCCACACCCCGCUGCCAGGAACUCCACCCCCUGAUGUGCUCACCCCUGGACCACAGCACAGCUGUUCUUGGCCCCAGGAUGCAGUGUACAGGGACAGCACAGUGGGGACACCUGCACUAUAGACUGGAGAACUUCAGGCCUCUCGCUGCUCUACCUUAAGAUUCUUAAUAAGGGAAAGGGGUGCAAAUCAUCAGGCUCCAGGACAAAGUUUUUAUGGCUCCUCCCAAAAUAAAUGAUUAUAUAACAG